GUAGGUGAACCUGCGGAAGGAUCAUUAUCGAGCGAAUCCAAAACGAACGAAAAAGUCUCCCAACGUGCAUACCUUCCAUUUGCAUGUUGUUGUGAGCCACAUGGAAACUCGUACACACGUGGUGGCAGCCGUCUGCUGUGCUUUUUUUAGGCAGACAAUGGCUUACGAGUGGCCGUGUGCUUGUUGAACAACGGUGACCAAUUUGGCGUCUACGCCGUAUCUAGCUUCUGCCUGGACCGUCAGUUGCGAUGAAAGAUGCGGAGAAAGUUCCUUUGUUUUGGCUGCUAAUCAUCAUUGAUGAGCAGUAGCUUAAGGCAGAGUUGAGCAGACUUAAUGAGCCACGCUAGGUGGCCGCCAAAACCCAAAACACAACCGGUCUAUUUGACAUUGUUAUUUCAUUGUAUGUGUUGAAAAUGUACAAAUCUUGGCGGUGGAUCACUCGGUUCGUGGAUCGAUGAAGAACGCAGCCAGCUGCGAUAAAUAGUGCGAAUUGCAGACACAUUGAGCACUAAGAAUUCGAACGCACAUUGCGCUAUCGGGUUCAUUCCCGAUGGCACGUCUGGCUGAGGGUCGAAUUACGGUGAACUGUCUUCACGGUUUUUCUGGACUGUGAAGCAUUCGGCAAGCAAUUGCUGUUGUGUUGUUGGUGAUUCUAUCAUGGACAAUAUGACGAGCGGUUCCUUGCUUAGUGAUGACAAAAGAAGACGUCAACACCGAAUCUACUAUACUACUAAUACUAGUAUAUAGGUGAGGUGCUUUUGGUGGUCACAAAAGUGACAAGUAUGCCAUUUCAUAGGGGCAACAACCAGCAUACGUGAUAAGUUGGCUGGUUGAUGAAACGGCAACGGAAUGACGGACGUCUAUGUGAUCAAAAAUGAUACUAUUUGACCUCAGCUCAGUCGUGAUUACCCGCUGAAUUUAAGCAUAUAAUUAAGCGGAGGAAAAGAAACUAAC
rnacentral:rRNA from 1 species